rnacentral:ncRNA from 1 species
CUAACGGCUCUUUUAAGAGCCACCCACAUUUCUUAGAGAGCUGCU